GGUGUAACUCAGUGGCAGAGUGCUUGCUUAGCAUGUAUAAAGGAAGCCCUGGGUUCAAUUCCCAGCAUC
rnacentral:tRNA from 1 species